CCUACGGGUGGCAGCAGUGAGGAAUAUUGGUCAAUGGUCGGGAGACUGAACCAGCCAAGCCGCGUGAGGGAUGAAGGUACAGAGUAUCGUAAACCUCUUUUGUCAGGGAACAAAGGCGGGGACGCGUCCCCGGAUGAGUGUACCUGAAGAAAAAGCAUCGGCUAACUCCGUGCCAGCAGCCGCGGUAAUACGGAGGAGGCGAGCGUUAUCCGGAUUUAUUGGGUUUAAAGGGUGCGUAGGCGGUCGGAUAAGUUAGAUGUGAAAUCCCGAGGCUCAACUUCGGAAUUGCCUCUGAUACUGUUCGGCUAGAGAGUGGGUGCGGUAGGCGGAAUUUUUGGUGUAGCGGUGAAAUGCUUAGAGAUCAUACAGAACACCGAUUGCGAAGGCGGCUUACCAGGCUACUUCUGACGUUGAGGCACGAAAGCGUGGGGAGCAAACAGGAUUAGAUACCCCUGUAGUC
rnacentral:rRNA from 1 species